rnacentral:rRNA from 1 species
UACAGAGGGGGCAAGCGUUGUUCGGAAUUACUGGGCGUAAAGGGCGCGUAGGCGCCUUCUAAGUCGAACGUGAAAUCCCUGGCUCAACCCAGAACAUGCGUCCGAUACUGGAAGGCUUGAAUCCGGGAGAGGGAUGCGGAAUUCCAGGUGUAGCGGUGAAAUGCGUAGAUAUCUGGAGGAACACCGGUGGCGAAGGCGGCAUCCUGGACCGGCAUUGACGC